UUAGUUCUUAGCUGCAUUUGAUUCCUUCUUUUCUGAUGAUGUUGUUAUGUUGUUCUUAUCAAUUAUUCCUGGCAGUUAGUUUGUUUUAAACCGCUUAUGUCCUCAUUUUUUUUUCUGUUUCAAUCUACUGAAGCCCUAAUUCUGUUAUAUAUAUACCUCCUGCAUAGAAGUUUUUAUUUAUUAUUUUACAUUGAUUCAGUUUUGCAACAAUGGUGCGUGCGGUGAGCAUGGAUGCGCUUGUUCCUGGUAUGCUUGGUUUAUCAGAUGAGCUUUAUGUAAAAGGCUAUGAGAUCGAAGGUUUGCUGUUUGUUUACUUGUGAUCCAUUUGAUUUGCCCCUUCGUAUGGCAGUUUGUCAUCAUGUUUAUUUCAUAUUGUAGGCCUGCGGACUAAGUUUGUUGCUUACCGAGAGAGGAUUGUUGAGGAGGUUAAUAGGACACUGGUAAGUGUUGAGGUCCAGCAGCCAGAUGGAACAACUUUAGCCCUGGACACAACCUGUUUUGGUGUCGUAGGCUCCAUGACUGUUAACAAUCUGGGCGAGUUGUUGACCGGAGAGCUUCAAGCAAAUGGAUUACGUCCUGUUGCAUUCAGCGCCGAUGGGAUCGUGCUUCCAGAAGAUUGUCUUUUCGCUGUUAUCAACAAACAGUUUCCAUCCAAGAACGGGUUCAUUUCGCUUCUCUGCAUAACCGAGAAUAUCGAGGAGGAAGAGGAGGAUAUUGUUGAUGGGGCCUAUUGAGCUACGCCAAUUCUGGACUCAGGACUGAAGGAAUUAGGAAAUGGAGUAUCUUUUGAUGCAAGCUUCUUUUAGUGAUAUAUUAGCUGUAGCUUGUUUGGGUAUCAGUCAAAACUGUUUUUUCGGAGAAGUUCCAUUGUCCUCAGUUAUGGAUUACGGUCGUCAUGUUUUGAAGUGAUGGAUAGCUUAUUACCUGGAUGCUUGUUAUAUAUUGGAGUGAUGGGAGAGUUUAUUACCUGGAUAUUUUGAUGAGUGAUGGAGAGCUUAUUACAAUCUUAUGCUUCUUUGUGUCUUGUGUCAUCUGCCUGCUUUUGCGUUUCAACUGUACAAUCUUUUGUUUGCUCUUCUGCCAUUCUCGUAAGAGAGCCUUGCUGAUUUCUUUUAGAUGCUAGAUCAAGUAUAUCUGGCAAGUUCUAGGUCUGCUGUGUUGCAUAGAUAUAAACCAAGGGUGGAUUGAACAAAGUUGGUGUUUGAGAUGUAGAUUAGUCAUUUAGCUGUCUGUAGAUUAGCCCGCUGUUUAACAUGGUGGUAAAGGGUUGAUCACUGGAUGAUGCUCUCAGUUUGAAGAUUAUCUUAAUGAU